UUAUGCCAAUAUUGAACACGAUA
rnacentral:siRNA from 1 species